GAGUUUGAUCUUGGCUCAGAACGAACGCUGGCGGCAGGCUUAACACAUGCAAGUCGAACGCCCCGCAAGGGGAGUGGCAGACGGGUGAGUAACACGUGGGAACGUGCCCUAAGGUUCGGAAUAUUCCCGGGAAACUGGGAGCAAUACCGAAUGUGACCGCAAGGUGAAAGAUUUAUCGCCUUAGGAUCGGCCCGCGUCGGAUUAGCUAGUUGGUGGGGUAAUGGCCUACCAAGGCGACGAUCCGUAGCUGGUCUGAGAGGACGACCAGCCACACUGGGACUGAGACACGGCCCAGACUCCUACGGGAGGCAGCAGUGGGGAAUCUUGGACAAUGGGCGCAAGCCUGAUCCAGCCAUGCCGCGUGAGUGAUGAAGGCCUUAGGGUUGUAAAACUCUUUUCGCCGAGGACGAUAAAUGACGGUACCCGCAGAAGAAGCCCCGGCUAACUUCGUGCCAGCCGCCGCCGUAA
rnacentral:rRNA from 1 species